rnacentral:rRNA from 1 species
GCAGCAGUAGGGAAUCUUCGGCAAUGGACGAAAGUCUGACCGAGCAACGCCGCGUGAGCGAUGAAGGCCUUCGGGUCGUAAAGCUCUGUUGUCAGAGAAGAACAAGUACCGGAGUAACUGCCGGUACCUUGACGGUACCUGACCAGAAAGCCACGGCUAACUACGUGCCAGCAGCCGCGGUAAUACGUAGGUGGCAAGCGUUAUCCGGAAUUAUUGGGCGUAAAGCGCGCGCAGGCGGUUUCUUAAGUCUGAUGUGAAAGCCCACGGCUCAACCGUGGAGGGUCAUUGGAAACUGGGAGACUUGAGUGCAGGAGAGAAAAGUGGAAUUCCACGUGUAGCGGUGAAAUGCGUAGAGAUGUGGAGGAACACCAGUGGCGAAGGCGGCUUUUUGGCCUGUAACUGACGCUGAGGCGCGAAAGCGUGGGGAGCAAACAGGAUUAGAUACCCUGGUAGUCCACGCCGUAAACGAUGAGUGCUAGGUGUUGGGGGGUUCCACCCUCAGUGCUGACGUUAACACAUUAAGCACUCCGCCUGGGGAGUACGGCCGCAAGGCUGAAACUCAAAGGAAUUGACGGGGGCCCGCACAAGCAGUGGAGCAUGUGGUUUAAUUCGAAGCAACGCGAAGAACCUUACCAGGUCUUGACAUCCUCUGACCACUUGAGAGAUCAAGCUUUCCCCUUCGGGGACAGA